UACGGAGGGUGCAAGCGUUAUCCGGAUUCACUGGGGUUAAAGGGUGCGUAGGUGGGGCUGUAAGUCAGUGGUGAAAUCUCCAAGCUUAACUUGGAAACUGCCGUUGAUACUAUAGCUCUUGAAUGUUGUGGAGGUGAGCGGAAUAUGUCAUGUAGCGGUGAAAUGCUUAGAUAUGACAUAGAACACCAAUUGCGAAGGCAGCUCACUACACAAAUAUUGACACUGAGGCACGAAAGCGUGGGGAUCAAACAGG
rnacentral:rRNA from 1 species